rnacentral:rRNA from 1 species
UCAGACGAUGCGUCAUGCAUAUCAAUAAGCGGAGGAAAAGAAACUAACAAGGAUUCCCUUAGUAACGGCGAGUGAAGCGGGAAGAGCUCAAAUUUGAAAUCUUCAAGGUUUUACCUUGACGAAUUGUAGUUUAAAGAAGUGUUUUCUGUUACGAUCGUAAUAUAAGUUCUUUGGAAUAGGACAUCACAGAGGGUGAGAAUCCCGUCAAUGAUUGCGAUUUGUAGCUUUGUGAUACACUUUCAAAGAGUCGGGUUGUUUGGGAAUGCAGCCCAAAACGGGAGGUAAAUUUCUUCUAAGGCUAAAUAUUGGCGAGAGACCGAUAGCGAACAAGUACCGUGAGGGAAAGAUGAAAAGAACUUUGAAAAGAGAGUUAAAUAGUACGUGAAAUUGUCAAAAGGGAAGCGUUUGACACCAGUGUUGUUUUCUCGAAAAUCAAUUAAAAAUGGCUCGAUUUUGUAUUGCUUGAGACCUUAAAAGCUCACUGUACAUUUUUCGUGUCUUUUUUAAUGCACUUUUCGUUUAACAAGUCAACAUCAGUUUCUUUUGUUGUAAAAGGGUCAUUGGAAGGUGGCUUUCUUUUCGGAGAAAGUGUUUAUAGCCUUUGGCCUCUGCAAUCGGAGAGACUGAGGUCUGCAGCGUAGACUCUUCGGGGUUAGAUACAUUUGUGCCUAAGUUAUAGCAUUUUAUAGACAACUUGUUGACUAUAAUUAGUCUUGUAGCUUACUCGCUUAUGUUAUUUUACCUACGCUUAGGAUGUUGACUGAUAGUGUAGUCGUA